rnacentral:sRNA from 1 species
UUAAUAAAAGCUUAAGGUGUUGUAAUUUUUUUUUACUUUGAAUAUCUAUUUAUCUUGAAUUUUACUUGACUAUUUUGUUCUCUCACUUCCACUCUCUCAAUUAUUUUGCAAUUCUUCUUACUUCUCUCUACAAUUUCUGAAAACAUGUAAGUUUUUGGUGUAUAAAAUGUAUCUCUUACCUUAGGUGGUUCUGACGAAGUGUGUCCUGUUUUAUUUUGAACAUGAAGAUUUUGUACAUGUUACGUUGGUUAUAUAUAGAUGUCCGAAAACAUAUUGCGAGGGAUUUGCGAGGGAUUUGCGAGGAACUUGCGAGGAACAGCGCUAUUUUCCUACGAAUUUGCGAAAGAAGGUCAACUACCAACCAAAGCAGGAAGAUUAUUUAAAACGUGCUGACCUAACCUGCCAAGGACUCGCAACUCCGACGCAAAAUUUGCUACAAAAAGUUUGUACGCCGCAAGUUUACCGCAGUUUGCGAGGCUCUUAUCGUACAGCAAAUCCUCGCAAGUUGCGAUGACUUUGCGAGGAAUUCUUCCGUCGUUGCAAUUUUCUCGCAGUUGCCACGCAAUAUUGCGUGGGAAUUCUCCCUCGCAAAUUUUGCGACUGAUUAACGACGUAUUGGUUUUCCCCGCGCAAAGUGCUCGCAAGUCUAUAGAAAUUUGCGAUGGAUUUAUGCCAUCUCAAAUUUCAUUCGCAAAUCGCCUGUUUUCUUGUAGAUUGAGAGAGAUUUCAAAGAGAUAGAAGGGGACAGUGGAGAGGUUGAGAGAGAUUUCAAAGAGAUUGAGGGAGAGUUGAGAUGUGAGAGAAAUGAAAGGAAAAUUGAGUUUUGAAAAAAAUAAGCGUAAAACUGAUUUGGAAAAAAGAAUCAAUUGCCGCAUAAUUUUUUUGUUUUGGAGGGUAAAGUUUGGUGCCUGAUGCUUUUCCAACGGUGAAACUUUUACCCUCGCAAAUCCGUCGGAAAUAUAAAAUAUUUUUCUUAUACAUGUAUAAAGUCAUCAUCUCAUUUCCAAAUAAGUGAACUCGGCGUUACAAACAAGCUCUUGAGAUACUUAUAACAUCGAUCAUUUCCUUUUCGUGACUAGUUUUCAUGUCCUUGGAGUGAAAUUUCUGUGAAUCUGCAUUGAGAAUUAGAUUUGAUAUAAUCUUGCUUGGUUUGACUUGAGUACUAGCUCACAAAACUUCAACCUAAGGCAAAUUUUCUAAGUUUAUGAUAGUUAUGUGUGUUUAUUGAUGCACAAAAAUGCAUUGAUGUGCAUUCUUCUAGGAGCUUAUUCAAGUCUGACUUAUAACAUGUUACAGAGUGGAUGGUUCAGAUAAGAAUCAAAGAUCUCAGAUGAUGAUUAUGGCGGGACGUUACUGCAUGUGACGAGUUCUCCACUUAGAUUUGAUCGAUAACUCUAACCGCACAAUAAUAGUGCUAAAUUGAAAUAGAAAUUUAA